CUUUAAGACUUCAGUGUUAGCAGCAUUGGGUUCAGUCUGUUCAGUCUUCUCAGAUGCACAGAUUAUGAUGAUGAUGAAGAUGAGGAUGAUGAUGAUAUCACUGAUUCCACUGCUGAUCACUCUGGGGUUCCUGACUCAGGAGUCAUCUGCAAAUAAGUUCCUGAAUCAAGCUGAUGAAUCAAAGUCUGUUGGUCUGGGAAAGACUGUGUCUCUCAGUGCUACAGGAGGUUCAGGCAUUGGUGAUGACAUGAGCUGGUACCUGCUGAAACCUGGACAGGCUCCUAAACUCCUCAUCUAUAAAGUAAAAACCCUUCAGUCUGGAACACCAUCUAGAUUCAGUGGCAGUAGAUCAGGUACUGAGUACACUCUUACAAUCACUGGUUUCCAAGCUGAAGAUGCAGGAGAUUACUAUGGUAUGGGUGUAUAUGAAGGCCCAGUGAUCACACAGUGAUUUAGAGUCGUACAAAAACCUCCCUCAGUCAGACUGCACAGAGACUGUACUGCUGCAGCUGGGAUCUACUGCAGGUGUUGAGGAACAACAGACUAUGAUAUGAAACACUGGUUCACUGAACACACAACUCAGGUCCUGGUGAUAAAAAAAACACUACUUUACCACCAAUGGUCAGGACAUCUGGAUACAACUCACAAAUGAAUCUCAAAUUCACCAAAUAGUUUAGUCACAAUCAAAACCAACAGCUAUAUCCCAUAACCCCCUCCCAUGUCUGUAAUGGUAAGAUGAUGUGGUUCUGCUCCUGUCCCCAGAUAUGCACUGUCCCCAGGGGAUCUACCCACUACCCACCCUCCCUCACCCUCCCUCACCCCUACCAACC